rnacentral:tRNA from 1 species
UUCCUGACAGUCUAGUGGUUAAGACUCUGCACUCUCUCUGCAGGGGUUAUGGGUUCAAUCCCUAGUCAGGGAU